rnacentral:rRNA from 1 species
UGGGGAAUAUUGCACAAUGGGCGAAAGCCUGAUGCAGCGACGCCGCGUGAGUGAAGAAGUAUUUCGGUAUGUAAAGCUCUAUCAGCAGGGAAGAAAAUGACGGUACCUGACUAAGAAGCCCCGGCUAACUACGUGCCAGCAGCCGCGGUAAUACGUAGGGGGCAAGCGUUAUCCGGAUUUACUGGGUGUAAAGGGAGCGUAGACGGCGAAGCAAGUCUGAAGUGAAAACCCAGGGCUCAACCCUGGGACUGCUUUGGAAACUGUUUGCUAGAGUGUCGGAGAGGUAAGUGGAAUUCCUAGUGUAGCGGUGAAAUGCGUAGAUAUUAGGAGGAACACCAGUGGCGAAGGCGGCUUACUGGACGAUAACUGACGUUGAGGCUCGAAAGCGUGGGGAGCAAACAGG